CCAGGACAGAAGAAUGUUAAAGGCUAGGAAAUUGGGAUUAAGUGAUUUGCCCAGGGACACAUGGCUAGGAAGUAUCUGAGGCCAGCAGAUAUGAAUACAGGACUCCUCUGUCCAGGCCUGGCUUUCUAUCCAAUGAGACAUCUGGCUGCCCCAAAUACAUUUUAAUUUGAUAAAGGCUUCCCUCAGUGAUGUAGUGGACAACAUGUUUGACCCUUCUGAUUUAAGUGAUUUAAAAUAUUCAGACAGCAUAAAGCCUGGCCAUAAUAUUAAGUAAUAAAAUCACAUGUAUAAUCCAUAGUCAUACUUAUGCAUAGACAUAUACUGAUAUGUAUUAUACAUAUAUGAACAUGAAUCCAUUUCUUUUCAUUUUUCACAUGCAUGCAGUUAGCCCCCAUUUUUAGAGACUGCCAAAAUACCCCCUAGUUCUAACAGUCCUAUGAUUCUGUGAUAUGUGUGAAUCUGUACUUUGAAGAGUCUUAAUUGUCUUAGGAUGGCUAGAAAAGCCCUUGGGAUACUCUCUCUCUCUCUCUCUCUCUCUCUCUCUCUCUCUCUCUCUCUCUCUCUCUCUCUCUCUCUCUCUCCCCUCUCCCUCCCUCCCUCCCUCCCUUCCUUCCUUCCUUCCUCCCUCCCUUCCUUCCUUCCUCCUUCUUUUCUUUCUUUCUUCUUUCUUUCUUUCUUUCUUUCUUUCUUUCUUUCUUUCUUUCUUUCUUUCUUUCUUUCUUUCUUUCUUUCUUUCUUUCUUUCUUUCUUUCUUUCUUUCUUUCUUCUUUCCUUCCUUCCUUCCUUCCUUCCUUCCUUCCUUCCUUCCUUCCUUCCUUCCUUCCUUCCUUCCUUUCUUUCUUUCUUUCUUUCUUUCUUUCUUUCUUUCUUUCUUUCUUUCUUUCUUUCUUUCUUUCUUUCUUUCUUUCUUUCUUUCUAACAACUUUAAGGGCUAGGCAAACAGGGUUGUGACUUGCCUCAGGUCACACAGGGAGGAAGUGUCUGAGGCAAGAUUUAUACCCAGUUUCUCCCAUCUCCAGGUCUAGCGCUCUAUCCACUGUGACACCUAGCCGUCCUUUCAAAGUCUGGGAGAGGUAAAAUUCCCAAAGGCUGUCUGUCUAAAAUGCAAUGUAACCAGUUUGCUGUUUUGCUUUUUUUCAUACACACCAAUAUCAGAUUACUCCUGACUUAAGCUGUGUAGAAUAGCGAAACAAACUUUUUCAAAAGUAAUAUUGUUGCUUGGCUUAGAAUGACUCAGCCUUGGGCAGGGCCCUUCAGGUUUGCGUAUCUGCAAAUGGACAGAUUUCCAUGCAUCUAAUAUGACAUUGAUAAUUGUAUAAAUGCAUUUAUAUGUAUGAGAUAGCGAUCAUAACCCACACCUGUUAUUUUCAUGCAUAUUCAAAUAAACACAUGUGUAAUAUCA
rnacentral:lncRNA from 1 species